rnacentral:lncRNA from 1 species
CAUGAAUAUUCAUUAGGCAGGGUCGGGGAAAGUCUCGAUUCUCUUAAAUAUUCAUAUCGAGGUGGGAAUGCACGACGCGCGCUAUACUCGCACAAAGUGAGAAGAUUUAGUUCACGGAGAAUGCAUAUGGAUUGAAACUGAAGAGCUGGAAGGAGGACAUUACAACAUCUCUUAUAUUUGCAAGAUGAAGCAGAAAGUCCCAUGCAGGAUGAUGCCUCUCUACAGUGGAUGAUGAAGGCAUUCUGGUUUGCAAACUCAGGAGAGGAACAAAGAACAGAUGUUGACGGGAUCAUAUCUAGAGAUGCGGGCCUACUACACUUCAUACGAGCAAGUGUGCCAAUAUACAUGAAGGUACCCCCAAUAAAUUUUUGUGGAACAAAUGUCAUGGAGAAAAUUAUAGAUCUGAAACAGAUAUUUUUCAUUGUCAGUUGACUUGUAAAAGAAUAAUUGACUUAAUAUCACAAUUGUAAUUUAGAUUAAAAAUUAAAUGUCAAUAUAG